rnacentral:lncRNA from 1 species
AGAAAGUCAGCCCUAGUGCUCUAGUGGUUAAGAUUUAGGGCUCUCACAGCUGCGGCUGGGGGUUUGUUUCCUUGUCAGGGAACCACACCACCCGUCUGUCAUUGUCUUACUGUGGCAUCUGUGUGUUGCUGUGAUGCUGAAAGCUAUGCCCCCGGUAUUUCAGAUACCAGCAGGGUCACCCAUAGUGGACAGGUUUCGGCAGAGCUUCCAGACCAAGACAAACUAGGAAGAAGGACCUGGCCACCCACUCCCGAAAACACUGGCCAUGAAAACCAUAUGAGGAGCAGCGGAGCGUUGUCUGAUACAGCGCCAGCAGGUGAGAAGAUGGCACCGAAAGACUGGGCGAGGUACUGCUCUGCUGUCCACAGGGUUGCUAGGAGUCAGAAUCCACUCAACGGCACUAACAACAAAAAGAAAAGAAAAGAAAACAGGGUGGGGAAAGGUCACAGGGCAUAUGCUCUAGACAAGUUAGCUAUGCUGUUUUGGUACUGCUUUUUAGUUUUUAUGCCAAGACACUUAGGCUUCUUUGUGGUGAGUGCUAAACAGAAAUUAAACCAACAAUUGGACCAAAACAUGUUAACAAUAUGCCCACAAACAAUGUUUCUGCCCCUUCACCGGUGCCCGUCACAAAUUCAGCCAAGAGGCCACUAAGGCCCCACAGUUGUUUGCUGGACUACUGCCCUAUGAGAACAAUAGAUGUUGAUUUGUUUUUUUGUUUAAUUGUUCCUCUAAUUUGACUAACCAUAAGGCUGAUUUGUACAUUUACAAACAUUAAGAUCUGGAUUGGAUUUCCGAUCCUCAGUGUCACUCAGUCUUUCAACAUCCCAAUGGGCCCGUGUGUGUUGGCCACCUUUCAGAUCCUUCUAUUUCAGAAAUGGUGGGGUCCCACAUGUUGGUCUCUACUGGGUUUCUAGCACAGCCAGCCAGCUUUGAAUGGGGAAAGACACAAGAGGGACUCGCAAGUAUGUCAGCCUUUUCCUCUAAGUGAACCUUCAUUUUUUCCCUUCCCGUCUGCGUUAUCCUGCUACGGUACUUUAAACUUCUCCCGUCAUUAAG